UUCUAAGGAUGUGGAUGGUGGCGUGGUCUGCGCUCUCCUGCCCCCGCAAGGGGCCUUGCGGUGCUGAGACGCUGCCCCAAGAAAAAAAUACCCUGCUCACACACCAGGAUGCCAGGAAACAGUGAAUCCCUUGAUUCCAGCCUAGCAGAUUGGAUCGCCGGAGUCCUCUCCAGCUCACUGAGACACGUGGAAAACUGAAAGUAAGGCAGCGGUGGGAAGAGGGAAGAGGCCGAGCAGUGCAACGCCCCAGCUCCCAGAUCAUCUUUUCCAAGCUCCACGACUAUCUCGGCCAAAAUAACUACUUACUACAGUUUCGGGGAAACAGAAGAGAUGUUAACUGCACUGGGGCCACAGCGAGAUCUAAUCUGAGGCAUUCCAGCCUUUUAGCAGGGGCAUCACCCACCUGCCCACCCGCCCCAUGAAGAAGACCCGAGAUCAGUGAAGCACCAGCUGGAUGCACAUCCGGAGAUCGCCGCCCUGCUGCUCCCGGCUCCCUAGUGAUCCAGCACUUCCAGCAAAUACCAGGCAAGCUAGCAGGAGAGCUGCUCGGAGGGCCUUGGCUGGCUGAUAGGGCUGAUGAUUCUCCCUUCCCAUUUUUGCAGAAUCUCUCCAUAAGGAGGCACCAACCAAAAUCUGCAUGUCUCCAGGAUUUGCUUUAUUUAACCUCGGGGGGAAACACCGAGCUGAGUUACAGUUCAGCACACUACGAUGACACGAUGGGAUUUGCAGGCCCUACUUCCUUAUACAGAAGAGAGAAGCAAGCACCAACGACAAGGGAAAAGAAGCAUUGCAAACUCUCCACCAAAGGGCAGGUGGUUCCCCAGUCCAUACCAAGGUGAUUACCCAUCUGUGAAGUGAGCGAGGCUCCCAUCAGUAGGAGUGUCAUAGGCACUCUGUCAAAAGCGGGGUUUACAAAGAGGGCGAAGGAUACUUAGGUCCAAAGGCAACACCCAAGGGAAACCCUCAUGAACCAGCUCAAACCAGCCUGAGGCACCACCACACUGCUCUCUUCUCUUCCAUUUGGAUAGGGGCAAACAAUUUAUGUGCUUGCAGUCACUCACUCAUUCAUUCAAGAAACGUUUACUUAGCACCUAGUAGAUGUCAUACACAGAGUCUAGGCCACAGAGUCUAGACUGCAAGCUAUGGCAAAAGUCACCUGCGUUCAAGUGGCACACAAUGGAGAAGGCUAAUAUAUGAAAGCAUGAGGAGGCUUUUUAAAAGCUUCCUCUGGCUUCUCAAAGCAUGCUGGAUCUCUAUUUUAGCAAUCUGCAUUGCGUCCUAGGUCCUGGUGUACCGCCUGUGUCCUCCAUCAGAUGGUAAGCUCCCUGAAGACAGAGGCUACAUUUUGUUCAUCACUGCCUUUCGUGUCUUAAUUACCCAAUAAAUGUCAGCUGAAUGCAACUGAAAUAGAAAACAAACACUUCCAUUCUUUCAAGAUCUUUGGCUUUACUGUUUCUGAAGGCUUUGCCACCAAACAAAGAAAAAUGAUGACGCUCCAGAAAGGAGGAAAAAGGGGAUUGACUUAGAUAUAUUAAGAAAACAGAAGUACAAUUUUGGAACUUCAGCCCAAGUGCAACCACCACUCAGCGGACCGAGAUGCCUCGGGGGUGUCACCGCUGGCGUCGCGGUAGAAUGCCUGUCCCCUCCCCUUCUCUGUGGGUUAUUCUCCUCUGAAAAUCCCCAUUUGGAGUCCUAAAGAAAGACGGGGCGGGUGGCGGGAGAAGGAGUUAGAAGGGGAAGAUUCACCAAGAAGCAAGGAAACCUUACAGCGAGAGGCUGGGGGGUCAGGGCUGGCCUGAGGAGGAGAUGGGUCCGCCCCCAGUGAGGUGGCCCUGCCGCGCCUCCUCUCACACUUUUCGUUCCUACAAGGCCUCUCUUUUCCCUUUCCUCUUUUUUUUUUUUUUUUUUAAUUCGAUGAAAUAGCAGUCUUCAGAACUGGAGAAGAGGGAAGCGUGUAAGGGUGAAAUGGAACAAAAUUCCAUCCAGCUCCCAGCAAAUCCGACUGGAACGGAUGGUUUCCAGUACGAGCCAUGAGGUAAAAAGUCUCAGAUUCCAUGUGCAAUACACAGCCCGGAUGUCUGAAAAUGUGACUCUGCCUAUUGGGAAAAGAAUGUCCAAAAGGGCCUUUCACAUCAGUUAUCUCAGUCCCCUGUUGUAUCAGUGCAAGAUGAGGUUCAACAAUUUGCUGAAGGUUUUGCAGCUGUGUUCACGGCUGGGUAACUAGAUGCCCUAACGACCUUCAGUGGUGAGCCAGGGCAUCCUCCGGGGAACCACAUUAUGCUCUGUCCUUAGAGACACCCGUUAUAGAAGCUAGGAACUUCAUGUCCAAAGAUUUGUCCUACAGGAAGUCAUCCGGAGAUAUAUAUAGUAUAGAUGGAGUGUAUGUUUACGUGUAUAUACGAAGUGUAUAUGUGGAAUAUAUAUGCACAUUUGCUGCAGCAUAAUAGUGAAAUUUGGAAAUCAGUCAUUCUCAUCAGCAAGGGAUUGAACAGGAUUGAUGGCCAUAUAAGAAGAGGAAGAGAUCUCUCUCCCUGUCUCCACGGCACCAAGGAAAAGCCAUGUGAACACACAGCAAGAAGGCAGCCGUCUGCAGUCCUAGAAGAGAGCUCUCACCAGAGCCCAACCGUACUGGCAACCCCAUCCAGGACUCCAGCCUCCAGACUGGGCUUCCCUGGUGGUGCAGUGGUUAAGAAUCCGCCUGCCAAUGCAGGGGACACGGGUUCGAGCCCUGGUCCAGGAAGAUCCCACAUGCUGCGGAGCAACUAAGCCCGUGCGCCACAACUACUGAGGCUGCGUGCCACAACUACUGAAGCCCACGCGCCUAGAGCCCAUGCUCCACAACAAGAGAAGCCAUCGCAAUGAGAAGCCCGCACACCGCAACGAAGAGUAGCCCCCGCUCGCCACAACUAGAGAAAGCCCACGCACUGCGAUGAAGACCCAACGCAGCCAAAAGUAAAAUAAAUAAAAUAAAUAAAUUUAUAAAAAGAAUCCUUUCUAUUUCUGAAUUUUCCAAGUAUUCUUCAAUAAGCAUGUAUUAUUUUAUGAUUAUAGGAAAAAAGUUAGCUUUAUAAGCAAAUAACUAGUUUUUAAUUUUAAAGUACCUCAGAGAUCUCAUAGCUGCUUUGUGAUUUUUUAAAAAAGCAACAACAUACCACUAACUUUAUCUUCAACUUAAAAAUAAUUGUGUCUUUGGAUAUAUUUUUCAAGAAAUUUUAGCCAACUUUGUAUCCAUUCACGUUAAAAUUCCUGCCACUGGAAAAGAUAUACAAAACUGACUGGCAGUCUGAACCCCGAGAACUGGUGAAACUCAGCAUGAGUCACUGGAGACAGGUAAUUUGCUAAGGAAUCUUCUUUCAAAUUUCAUCCUAAUUUGUAUGAUGACUCCACGUGUCUGUCAAAUGUUGUUAAAAUUAAGUGCAACACUAGGCUGGAGGAUUUAGCCCAGUCCAGUUUAACUCCUUCAUUUAGUAAUUAAACAAUAACAAGCUAGAUUUAUCCUUACACCUAAUGCAUAAUGAUGGUUUGGAUGUUCUAAUUGGAUAAGUGGCCAAAUGCUCCCUCCAGCAUAUGAUGUCAGAAGAUGUCACAGUCCUGGUUUGCUGCAAACACAUAUCAGGAACAUGGUCCUGACCUGGAGGUCACUUUCUGGUAACUUCAAUCCCUGGAACAGAACUCUGAACCGGAAGGUAAGAGGGGAAGAGCCUCUGCGUAGCCAAGUCCCUGCAUCUUCAUGGAGAUGCCUUUCUUAGGCUUGCUUUUUGAUUCUGGCUGAAGAUCUAAUUUCAGAAGGUCCAGUUAUGUGGUUUCCCAGUCCUCAGUGGAUUAGAAACCAAGAAAAUAGAAAAGCUUUUGGAGAUGGAAGAGGGAGGGGGAGGGGAAAAUGACUUUAUUCAGUUCAUUCCUCUCUCUGUAAAUGGAUUAGCUGACAACAACAAAGGAGGGAAAGAAAAGUUAACAAGCAUUCCCAGAGGUUAUAUGUGCCCCAGACAGUCUUCUUCAUACCCAGUGAUGACCUUGGGGUAGGAAAAUGUGUUUGAACUGUGAUGAGAAAUUUUCAUAUAGUUUUGCUGGUAAGAGUGGUGGCCUCUGGGGAGGAGAUCACUUCUGAGGUGGUAAGAGGAGACAGGACUCAUUCAUGCUCUUGUAUAUUUUUCAGACAUUAUAUUAUGUGCAUUAUGUUUCUUUUGCUUAAUAAUAAUUUUUUAAAAAUUAUUUAAUGCCCCCACAAAAGACUUUACAAAUAAAAAGUACCUGAGGGCUUCCCUGGUGGCGCGGUGGUUGAGAGUCUGCUUGCCAAUGCAGGGGACGCGGGUUCGAGCCCUGGUCUGGGAAGAUCCCACAUGCCGCGGAGCAACUGGGCCCGUGAGCCACAACUACUGAGUCUGCGUGUCUGGAGCCUGUGCUCCGCAACAACAGAGGCCGCGAUAGUGAGAGGCCCGUGCACUGCGAUGAAGAGUGGCCCCCGCUUGCUGCAACUAGAGAAAGCCCUUGCACAGAAACGAAGACCCAACACAGCUAAAAAUAAAUAAAUAAAAAGAACUUGCCUUUUAAAAAAAAAAAAAAGUACCUGAAGAGAAAAGUGUAUAAAUUAAAAUAUUGGAGACCUGAAACCAUAAAACUCUACAAGAAAACAUACUGGGUAAGCUCCUUGACAUUGGCUUUGGCAAUGAUUUUUUUGGAUUUAACACCAAAAGCAACAAAAGCAAAAAUAAACAGGUGGGGCUACACCAAACCAAAGCAAAGGAAACCAUCAACAAAAUGAAAAGGCAACCUAUGGAAUGGGAGAAAAUACUUGCAAAUCACAUAUCUGAUAAGGGAUUAAUAUCCAAAAUAUGUAACGAACUCAUAAAACUCAACAACAGAAAAACAAACAAUCUGAUUUUUUAAAUGGGCGGAAGAGCUGAAUAGACAUUUUUCCAAAGAAGAUAUAUAGAUAGCCAACAGGUACAUGAAAAGAUGCUCAACAUCACUAAUCAUCAGGGAAAUGCAAAUCACGACCACAAUGAGAUACCACCUCACACGUAUCAGAAUGGCUAUCAUCAAAAAGACAGCAAAUGACAAGUUGGCAAGGACGUGGAGAAAAGGGAACCCUCAGGCACCAUUGGAAUGCAAAUUUGUGUAGCCACUAUGGAAAACAAUAUGGAGAUUCCUCAAAAAAUUAAAAAUAGAACUACCAUGUGAUCCAGCAGUUCCACUUCUGUGUAUAUAUCAGAAGGAAACAAAAUCUCAAAAAGAUAUCUGCACUCCCAUGUUCACUGCAGCAUUAUUCACAAUAGCCAGGACAUAGAAACAAAGUGUCCACUGACAGAUGAAUAGAUAAAGAAAAUGUGGUGUAUAUAUAUAUAUAUAUAUAUAUAUAUAUAUAUAUAUAUA